rnacentral:pre_miRNA from 1 species
GCCACUGCUCGCACCUGCUGCCGGCGCCUGGUGCCAGUCCCAAUCGCUUGGCGCCGUCAGUGGGUGUGAGCAGUGGCUG